rnacentral:lncRNA from 1 species
AAGACUAGUUCCCAACAGAGCCCUCCAUUUGCAAAGGAAAUCCACUGACUACCAGCUUCUCAGUAUAGCCAGCUCCCUAUCCCGGCUCUGUCCAGGUCCCAUGUGGCUCCUUUCCCUCUCCACCAGGAAGCAGCAACCUCUUGGUCUCUGACCAUGGGCUAGAGAGGCUAUCUCCAUGGCUACAACCUUGGUAGCCAUGGUGACCUUCCCUCAAGAGGCCAGGGUCUCUCAUCCUCUAGGCCUUUGGCAUUCCUUUGCUGAGAAUGCUGGGGUGGGGGCAAUGGCCAAUCUGAGGAUGGUGACUAAGCCAGAGGUGGGGCACAGGGCACUGAAAGUGGAACAGAGAUGUGCCAGUCCCAAGGAAGGGCACACUACACAGUGUUCAAGGCUCUCAGCAAGGUAGCUCAGGAUGAUGCGGGCCCAACCUCGGUCAGAUUUUGUCACGUCCUAAGCCCCGGCAUUCCCAUCUGUAAAUCACAGUCACUAUCUACACACAACGGUGCUAUCACCCGAGGUUAUCAGAAAGGCGGUUUCUUGGGAGCCAGGGAGUUCAGAGUUCAUGAAUAAAUGAAGAAGGAGGAAGCAAAAAAGGAUGUUUAUUGAUCCACAAAUCUCUCCGUGCCAGAGUCUGCCCCACAAAUGCUUCAGUCUGCAGUCCUGUGUAGCUUGGCGUGUAUACAAACAUGCACACAGACCGCUGACAGACUCCUCUUACCCCGUAACAGACUGGUGGCCGUACCAGCAACCCCAGCACUCUGGAGGCUGAGGCUGGAGGAUCGAAGUUCAAGGUCAUCGUCACCCACGGAUCAAGGCACAGUGCUGGGUCUGAUGGGACAGGAGCCACUUCACAUCCUGAGCAGCUGAGCCAGGCCAGGUAGGGAUCCUCAGCACACACUAACGAAAGGAAAUCUUUUUAAACUGUCUUUACUUCUGCUAAGAGCCACAGUGUAAGGGGCUGGAGAGAUGGCUCAGAGGUUAAGAGCACUGGCGGCUCCUCCAGAGGACUCAGGUCCGUUCCCAGCACCGAUGUGGUGGCUCACAACUGUUUGUAACUCCAGCUCCUGGGGAUCUGACAUCCUCUUCUGGCCUCUGCAGACACUGCAUACAUGAGGUAUAUGCAGGGAAAACACUCAUAUCCACGUUUUUGUUUUUUAAAAGAAGCCACAAUGUGGAAUUCUGGCUUUGGGCACCAGUCAGACGUGGCUCUGUGCUUCUGUCCAUUCUUAGAGUCCUGAACUGGGAAAAGGUAAAGAUGCUGUGUCGACUUGACAUGGCCCUGGUGAAGCCCGAGGCCUUGGGCUUGGAUCCCUGCCCUGCUGCCGCCUGGUGUGGCUGCAGUCGUCCUCGGAUGCCAGCUGUCCACCAUGCAUGGGUAGAUCCAUGGGCUGGAGCAGUUAGUGCAUUUACAGCUGACAGUGUGUCCUAGAUGCCUGGUAAACUUCUAUGGAGACCGUGUGGUUCACUU